rnacentral:misc_RNA from 1 species
GUUGAAGAACGUAGCGAAAUGCGAUAAGUAAUGUGAAUUGCAGAAUUCAGUGAAUCAUCGAAUCUUUGAACGCACAUUGCGCCCUCUGGUAUUCCGGGGGGCAUGCCUGUUCGAGCGUCAUUAUAACCACUCAAGCUCUCGCUUGGUAUUGGAGUUCGCGAUCUCGCGGCUCCUAAAAUCAGUGGCGGUGCCUGUCGGCUCUACGCGUAGUAAUACUCCUCGCGAUUGAGUCCGGUAGGUUUACUUGCCAGCAACCCCCAAUUUUUACAGGUUGACCUCGGAUCAGGUAGGGAUACCCGCUGAACUUAAGCAUAUCAAUAAGCGGAGGA